GUUCUUAGGAUUCAUUCAAGAUGUUGAUGUAUUUUCUUCCUCCUGAGGAAAUUUUUGGUAUGUAUGUCAUACCAUAUUAUGUCUGCCACUUGCAUUCCAUGUAUGUUUGAAUUGCUAGAAUAACAUAACACCAUGGCCUUCGUGUGAAUUUUUUGAGUUGCUAUGGUCGUCGAUUUGGUGGUUCUGUUGAGAACGUGCUCCUUUUCUUGCCAUACAUGAUGGUCCUUUUAAAGGACAUAUGUAAUUAUAUAUUACCACAAGCUUGCAACCAGAAAUACAAAUAAAUUUGCAUGGUGGCAUUGGACGCUGAGACUGGCCAUAUAACAUAAUUACAGGUGCAGUUCCGUCGACAACACAGGAGUAGAUGGCAAGCUAGAUGAUGAAGAAUGGGUCAUAACUCAUAGCGCCUCAUUAAUUUUAUGCCAUGAAAUGUGUUUGUGAUACUAUUUCUGUUCUCAUUACGAUUUAGUAGUCAAGUAUGCCAACCGUCGUAGCUCUCUGCCAAGAUCAGAAUAUUGUUGUAGCUAAGCUUGUGGGCUGCUGCUAUUAUAGGGACGUGGUGCAAUCUCCUCACUGUCGUUUAUGUCGGAUUUGUUUGCUCUCAGACGCUGCCAAUACUGUAUGAGAAAUAUGAAGAUCAAAUUGAUGACUUUCUAUAUAACCUCCUCGGGCAGUUCCAGAAUCACUAUAGCAAGCUGGAUGUGAGUGUGCUGAGUAAACUAUCCAAGGGAAAUCCCAGAUCAAAGAAGAAUGACUAGAGUCCAUCCUUCUUUGGUUCAUCUUGUCUUUUAUUGUGUGAUCGACAUGCUGUAUUGCUGUCAAAUAAAGAUGAAAACCUCCGCCACUAUUGUGAACACAACAGCAGCAAUUCUGUGCAUAGUCUUUUUGCCACUGAAUGCAGUUUUCUGAUAUCCCAACUGGUUGUCAAGCAAUUAUGCAAACAGAGCAUGAUGUUCUUUAGGUCAA